rnacentral:rRNA from 1 species
GAGCUUGCUCCUGUGAUUAGUGGCGAACGGGUGAGUAACACGUGAGUAACCUGCCCCUGACUCUGGGAUAAGCGUUGGAAACGACGUCUAAUACUGGAUACGACUGCCGGCCGCAUGGUCUGGUGGUGGAAAGAUUUUUUGGUUGGGGAUGGACUCGCGGCCUAUCAGCUUGUUGGUGAGGUAAUGGCUCACCAAGGCGACGACGGGUAGCCGGCCUGAGAGGGUGACCGGCCACACUGGGACUGAGACACGGCCCAGACUCCUACGGGAGGCAGCAGUGGGGAAUAUUGCACAAUGGGCGAAAGCCUGAUGCAGCAACGCCGCGUGAGGGAUGACGGCCUUCGGGUUGUAAACCUCUUUUAGUAGGGAAGAAGCGAAAGUGACGGUACCUGCAGAAAAAGCACCGGCUAACUACGUGCCAGCAGCCGCGGUAAUACGUAGGGUGCAAGCGUUGUCCGGAAUUAUUGGGCGUAAAGAGCUCGUAGGCGGUUUGUCGCGUCUGCUGUGAAAUCCCGAGGCUCAACCUCGGGCUUGCAGUGGGUACGGGCAGACUAGAGUGCGGUAGGGGAGAUUGGAAUUCCUGGUGUAGCGGUGGAAUGCGCAGAUAUCAGGAGGAACACCGAUGGCGAAGGCAGAUCUCU